rnacentral:rRNA from 1 species
UACGGGGGGGGCAAGCGUUGUUCGGAAUUACUGGGCGUAAAGCGCGUGUAGGCGGCCAGGUAGGUCCGUUGUGAAAACUCGAGGCUCAACCUCGAGACGUCGAUGGAAACCGUGCGGCUAGAGUCCGGAAGAGGAGAAUGGAAUUCCUGGUGUAGCGGUGAAAUGCGUAGAGAUCAGGAAGAACACCGGUGGCGAAGGCGCUCUGCUAGGCCGCAACUGACACUGAGGGACGAAAGCUAGGGGAGCGAAUGGG